rnacentral:rRNA from 1 species
AUUGAACGCUGGCGGCAGGCCUAACACAUGCAAGUCGAGCGAGCGGCGGACGGGUGAGUAAUGUCUGGGAAAAUGCCUGAUGGAGGGGGAUAACUACUGGAAACGGUAGCUAAUACCGCAUACCAUCAGAUGUGCCCAGAUGGGAUGAGCUCGUAGGUGGGGUAACGGCUCACCUAGGCGACGAUCCUUAGCUGGUCUGAGAGGAUGACCAGCGGUCCGGGAACGGGACCACGGUCAAGACUCCUACGAGAGGCAGCAGUGGGGAAGAGGUCACAAUGGGCGCGAGCCUGAUGCAGCCAUGCCGCGUGUGUGAAGAAGGCCUUCGGGUUGUAAAGCACUUUCAGCGGGUAGGCGGUACCCGCAGAAGAAGCACCGGCUAACUCCGUGCCAGCAGCCGCGGUAAUAC